rnacentral:rRNA from 1 species
AUUGAACGCUAGCGGCAGGCCUAACACAUGCAAGUCGAGCGGAUGAAGGGAGCUUGCUCCUGGAUUCAGCGGCGGACGGGUGAGUAAUGCCUAGGAAUCUGCCUGGUAGUGGGGGAUAACGUCCGGAAACGGGCGCUAAUACCGCAUACGUCCUGAGGGAGAAAGUGGGGGAUCUUCGGACCUCACGCUAUCAGAUGAGCCUAGGUCGGAUUAGCUAGUUGGUGGGGUAAAGGCCUACCAAGGCGACGAUCCGUAACUGGUCUGAGAGGAUGAUCAGUCACACUGGAACUGAGACACGGUCCAGACUCCUACGGGAGGCAGCAGUGGGGAAUAUUGGACAAAGGGCGAAAGCCUGAUCCAGCCAUGCCGCGUGUGUGAAGAAGGUCUUCGGAUUGUAAAGCACUUUAAGUUGGGAGGAAGGGCAGUAAGUUAAUACCUUGCUGUUUUGACGUUACCAACAGAAUAAGCACCGGCUAACUUCGUG